GAUGAACGCUGGCGGCGUGCUUAACACAUGCAAGUCGAACGGGAAACCUUUUAAUGAAGCUUCGGCAGAUUUAGCUGGUUUCUAGUGGCGGACGGGUGAGUAACGCGUUGGUAACCUGCCUUAUACACGGGGAUAACAGUCAGAAAUGACUUCUAAUACCGCAUAAGCUCACAGGACCGCAUGGUCCGGUUUUAAAAACUCCGGUGGUAUAAUCUGGACCCGCGUUGGUUUAGCUUGUUGUUGGGGUAACGGCUCACCAAGGCGACGAUCCAUAGACGGCAAGAGAGAGUGAACGGAGACAUUGAGACUGAGACACGGCAGAGAAUCCUACGGGAGGAAGCAGUGGGGAAUAUUGCAAAAUGGGGGAAACGCUGAAGGAGCGAGGCCGCGUGAAGGAAGAAGUAUCUCGGUAAGUAAAGUGCUAUCAGCAGGGAAGAUAGUGACGGUACCUGACUAAAAAGCCACGGCUAACUACGUG
rnacentral:rRNA from 1 species